CAGGCAGUGCCUGUCAGUGAGACCAGGCAGCCCCACGGGCCACCUUCACCAUGGCCAGUGAGUGGGAGGCUUCUCCUCGGUGUCCGGACAAAUGCACACCCGUCACUCAAGUGUUACUCGACGCCAAAGACAGGGCAUGGGCUGGUCCACCACGGACACAGAAGAAUGAGCCCUUGCUCCACAGUCAAGGACUUCUGUACACUGAACCCCAAAAAACUAAUGUCUGGUGGCCACUCAUUCAGAAAAGGAGAGGAGACUUCCUACAGGACACAGACUAACCCAUCUAAAACAAACAAGCGGUGUGGUGAUGGCAGGAACAUGGUCAGUCUGAGCUCAGCCUGGGAAACUUAGCAACUCAUCAACACCCUGCCUCAAAAUAACAAAAGGGCCAGGGAUGUAGAUCAAUAAAGUCCCAGCAUAGCCAAGUGAAUGAAUCAAUGAAUGUGGUGGUGAUCAGGUGGGGAAAGACAAAGUGAGGCCAGGGAAGACGCUUGAACUCAGAGCUGAGGAGGCUGCAUCUGCUCCAGAAGAAUGUAGUUACAAGCUCUUGAGCAGGGGAAUGCUAAAGGACUGGGCCACUGCAGAAGGUGCCAUAUUCCAGAGUCCGGAGUCCACCUGCAGGCUACUUAGGACUCUAAGUCCAGGCCCCCCAGCAGCUGAAGGAAUGAAAGAAAAAAAUUCAGCCCUCCCGGCUCUUCUCUCCUAGAGGGGCGGCAGGGAACCCAGGUCCUUGGUGUAAGCUCUAGGAAAUACUUGCUGAUGCACCAGAGGCUGGGCUAAAGCAAGGCCACACCCCCACCAUUUGUCUGUCGUCCACAUGGUCCUUUACCCUGACAAAUGCC
rnacentral:lncRNA from 1 species